rnacentral:misc_RNA from 1 species
GGAAGGAUCAUUAACACAAACUGUGGCUGCGGAUGUGCACGUCGCCCUGCCUCGUGCGGGGAUCAACGAUUGCUGCUGCCGCUCCACAUUUGGAUCCAUAUCCAUUUACCCCUGUGAACUGUUAAAGUCUUUCCAUAGUGAAAUUAACACCAAUGGAAUAGUACUCUGACUGAACACAUAAGAAGCAAUCAAAGCGCGGGUUUCCCUUUACCGGGGGGGCCUUCGCCUACGCUUCGCAAAUCCAAACCAAAAACAACUUUUAACAACGGAUAUCUUGGUUCUCGCAACGAUGAAGAGCGCAGCAAAACGCGAUAUUUAAUAUGAGACGCAGAACUCAGUGAAUCAUCAAAACCUUGAACGCACUUGGCGCCCUCGAGUCUCCGGAUUCUGGGGCAUAUCUGUUUGAGUGUCAACAAACCCCCCUCACAAACUCCCAACUUUCGGGUUGCGGGUUCAAAUUGUGGACGUUGGUCGCUGUGCUAGUCGCGCUUCAUGUGCGACGCGUACACCGGCUUAAGCAUAGUGGUGAGAGGCUCGCGAAUCGCUCCUCGAACACUGACUGGGUAAGUUUCCUCUGGAAACAACAAAACUACUAAGUCAAAUGUUCCCGAGGGUACACAGUGUCUCGCGUGGCGCUUGCCCUGCAACACCAUGUUUGCGGAAACGCAAAACCCUAUGACCUCAAAUCAGGUAAGAAUACCCGCCGAAUUUAAGCAUAUUAAUAAGCGGAGGAAAAGAAACUAACAAGGAUUCCCCUAGUAACGGCGAGUGAAGCGGGAAAAGCUCAAAUUUAAAAUCUCCGCCCCGCCGGGCGGCGAAUUGUAGUCUAGAGAGUCACUUUCGGCGUCAGCCCCGGUCUAAGUUUUCUUAGAACAGGGCAUCAUAGAGGGUGAGAAUCCCGUCUAUGGCUGGGUAGCUGGCGCCUUACGUAGUGUUCUCAAUGAGUCGAGUUGUUUGGGAUUGCAGCUCCAAAUGGGUGGUAAAUUUCAUCUAAAGCUAAAUAUUGGCGAGAGACCGAUAGCGAACAAGUACUGUGAAGGAAAGAUGCAAAGAACUUUGAAAAGAGAGUUAAAAAGGGCUUGAAAUUGUUAAAAGGGAAGGAUUUGAAACCAGUGUUACGGGGCGCAUCAUCAGGCGAGCGGGGGAAAGGCGUGCCGACGGACACCGCAAGGGCCGUUUGCACGUUUGGACUCUGCGGCUCGCUGCACUGUUGCGUCGCCGUGGUCAACAUCAUUUCGGCGUCCGGGAUAAAGCCGGGGUGAAGUCGCUUCACUUGUGGAGCGGUUCCUCCGCGCAAAUGCCGGGUACUGGAAUGAGGAAAUUGCAGCGCGCGCCCAGCGAGGCGGCCGCGUUCUGGCGUUGGGUGUCUCGGGAAGCAGAACCUAGUUGUGCCCCCUUGCCUCGGUGUCACGGCGUGGUGCAGCCAACUGCGCGCUACAGAUGUCGACGAAAUGGUUCUAAAUCACCCGUCUUGAAACACGGACCAAGGAGUCUAACAUAUAUGCGAGUGUUAAGGUGACAAACCUUUGGACGCGCAAUGAAAGUGAAGGGCAGCGCUAGCUGUCUGAGGUAGGAUCCCGAGCUCUCGGGCGAGGGUGCACUAUCGACCGAUCUGGAUUUUUUUUGAAGGAUUUGAGUAUGAGCAUAUCUGUUGGGACCCGAAAGAUGGUGAACUAUGCCCGCAUAGGUCGAAGUCGAGGGAAACCUCGAUGGAGGAUCGUAGCGAUACUGACGUGCAAAUCGUUCGUCAAAUGUGGGUAUAGGGGCGAAAGACUAAUCGAACCAUCUAGUAGCUGGUUCCCUC